rnacentral:rRNA from 1 species
UUCGGGGCGAAGAUAAAGUGGAUUAGCGGCGGACGGGUGAGUAACACGUGAGUAACCUGCCUUAGACAUUGGGAUAGCCUCGGGAAACCGGGAUUAAUACCAAAUAAAAUCAUAAUGACACAUGUCAUAACGAUCAAAACUCCGGUGGUCUAAGAUGGACUCGSGUCCCAUUAGCUAGUUGGUAGAGUAAAAGCCUACCAAGGCGACGAUGGGUAGCCGGCCUGAGAGGGUGAACGGCCACAUUGGAACUGAGAAACGGUCCAAACUCCUACGGGAGGCAGCAGUGGGGAAUAUUGCACAAUGGAGGGAACUCUGAUGCAGCGACGCCGCGUGAACGAAGAAGGCUUUCGAGUCGUAAAGUUCUUUUAUAUGGGAAGAUAAUGACGGUACCAUAAGAAAAAGCCCCGGCUAACU